UUGAAGUGACUGGAUGUGCUUUGCAAAACAACUUUCUUACAUUUUCUUUCAUUUUCAUUAACGGGUCAUUAUCUGUAAUUUUGUCACCGAAAAUUGAAUUCAAUGAAAAUUGUUCUAUAUCCUAUAUUUCAGUAACAACACCAGUAUUUAAGAAUUUCAAACACUUUUUAACUCCCAAAGCAGGCACAUGAAUAUGUAAUUUUGGUGAUUAAAUAAUUAUUCUUCCUUAUAUAUUUCUUUACACUAAAAGCGUAGUUUUAUUAGGUUUCUCUUGUUGUCGUACAAAACAAAUGUUUUAUUAGCCAUUAAUAUAUCAAUUCCUCUGCCAUUGAGAUUUUGAGAGAGAAAAAAGGUUGCCAUCACUUUCACAGCAAAUACCCCUUCAAGGGAACGUGGAAGGGUGCGCAAUGACGACGAUGAUAUUACUUUAUCAUUACAUUACUUGGGGAGGCUUAAUACAUGUGUGCAACAUAUGUGUAAUCCUAUACUGUAUACAUUUCUUUUCCUUAGAAUUAAAAAAAUAACAAGAUGUGUUUGUGAAACACAAAUGCCCCCGAUAAUGGUCAAUUCCAAAGAUGGCCAAGGUCACAAUGACAAAUAUCUUGGUACCAGUAGAACGAUCUUGUCACAAGAAAUGCUCAUGUGCAAUAUGAAAGCUUUAAUAUUUACCAUUUAGGAGUUAUGAACAUUUUGAUAUCCACGGAUAGGUCUUGUCACAAGGAAUACUCAUGGGAAAUAUGAAAGCUCUAGUAGUUAUUGUUCAAAGGUUAUUAGCAAGGUUAAAGUUUCAGACAGAAUGACAAGACAGGACAAACAGAAUACCCCCCCCCCCCGAUCUUCGAUCUCGGGGGCAUAAAAAAGUGACAGUUUUUAUACAGCUUAUCUGAAACUAUAAUUUAUACCAAACUUGUUGUAUUGGAUAGUUAUUCCCUGUUCUGUAUGUUCGACCGGCUGUUUACCGAAAUUUCUCGUUCUAUACCAAUCUUCUAGUCUUCAUUCCACCAUUGCUGUCUUGCCAAACAUCAUACUUUAUAUCAUAAAAUUUACGGUGAUUUUCCUAUUUCUAAAUGUCAACAAGUGCGAAAAUGAACAUCUUUUUAUGUUUUUGACCUAGAAACAAAACCAAUACUAACAACACAGAGCAAUCCUGAUUGUUUAGGGAUUUGAUAAAUAAUGAACCCCAAUAUACAGAACAACUCAUAAAAUAAUAUUACAUCCGUUUUAUGUUGAUUUGAUAUUUACAUUAUUUUAUUUAUUAUCUAACUAGAUGCAAUCCAGUGGUAAAGCAGUACAUAUUUAUAUUGUAUUUUAGAUGUAUGGUUAUUUUUUUCUCCAUAUAUGCACGGUUUCUAUUUACCGAAAUUGAAAUUCAUGCUUUUAAAAUUUCGACAUGUAUCUGCAUUUAUUGUAUGCGAACAAAUUUAGUAGGAGCUUAUGAAAUACAUGUGCAUGUCCCUUACUUGAAUUCCUUCUCUCAUCUUAUUACGACAACUCGUUAUAUAAAAUGGGUAAUUCGAUAUAUUUGAAGCUUUGAACGUGGCAAUACCCUAGUAUAGAUCUGGAUCACGUUUAACAAAGGAACUUAUACGGCUAAGUCCAAAAUCUUUUGCAAUUUAUUUUAUUCUUUUCGUUAAUUAGAUUAUGAUUUUAAUGCAAACAAAGAAUUUAAUUAUGCAAUUUGAUGUACGUAAUAUCAUACAAAAUUAAUUAAGUUGAGUAGGUUUUUUUUUUAGAACUAUGUAACAUUUUUAGUCCUAGUCGUAAGUUAUUUGUAAAAUAGGGUCCAGUGGUGUUCUAACAUAUUAGGACAGCCGAAUUCAGGUGAAUAUGAAGGUAAAAAGUUGUUGGACGAAUCCUAAUUUUUUUCUUUUUGAAUGGACGGGAUUCUUCUUUUAUGCUACUAACCAUAGCAUUUUGUGCAGUUUCAGAGGGGCUUGUUUACGGGUACAUAAAAUUCACAUGAUAUCUUAUCAUUUGUAUUAUCAAUGAAAUUAGCGUUUGUAAUCAAAUGGGGAGAGUAUUUUCUUGAUGGAAUAUUGGAUGAGCUACUGGGCCUAGGGAUGGAGAAAUCGACUAGACAAGAACAGCCAAUUUCCAUCAAAAAAGUAAACCUAGGCCUCUACGCUGUACAUUGUUAUGUUUUCUGCCAUCGAUUGUCCAAUAAUUAUGUUGACUUAUGUUGACUUGUCAGAUCUUCAUGUUGUCUUAUCAUAAAAUUAUAUUGACUUGUCAGAUAAUUAUGUUGACUUGUCAGAUAAUUAUGUCGACUUGUCCGAUAAUUAUGUUGACUUAUCAGAUAAUAAUGCUGACUUGUCUGAUAAUUAUGUUGACUUGUCAGAUAAUAAUGCUGACUUGUCUGAUAAUUAUGCUGACUUGUCUGAUAAUUAUGUUGACUUAUCAGAUAAUAAUGCUGACUUGUCUGAUAAUUAUGUUGACUUGUCAGAUAAUAAUGCUGACUUGUCUGAUAAUUAUGUUGACUUGUCAGAUAAUUAUGUUGACUUGUCAGAUGAUUAUGUUGACUUGUCAGAUGAUUAUGUUGACUUGUCAGAUAAUUAUGUCGACUUGUCAUUUUCAAUUAUCUUUUAAUUCUGAUAUGAUAUGCUAAUGUUAUUUGCCAUGAUUUGGUGACACCUACAUUCCACUCUAAUAUCUGAUUAAUCAACAUCACGAUUGAUCUGACGAGUGGACAUAAUUAUCUGCCAAAUCUACAUAAUUAUUUGACAAGUCGACGAAAAGAUCUGAAGAGUCGACAUAAUGAUUUCGGUUUGGGUUAGCCUUAUGUCGACUUCUCAGGUCAUUAUAUCGUUAUGUAAAUGGCACAGUUUGGGCUUGAAAGCAUUUUUACGAUUACCUUUUUUAAACUUUUUAUUAUUUGAUAAGAGUACAAUAUUAUCUGAUAAGUCGACAUAAUAAACUGACAAGUGGACAACAUUAUCUUGCAGGUCGACAUUAUUAUUAAUGGGAAGUACAAUGUAAUAUAUAUUCUUACACGUCAACAAAUCUUGUUCUAUAAAUGAUGCCACUGUGGUCUACAAGAACUAGGAUUCUUUUAAAAGACCAAUUAACGCGAUAUUUGGUAUUAAAAUAUAGUUUCUGGGUCAUUGAUUUUCACAUUUGAUCUAAAAUACCCAUCUUUUAUGUUACUUCUUAACUUUUAAAUGAAAACAUUGUAAUUUUUGUUUAGACUACACUUUGUAACACUGACAAUAAUUCGCGACUGUUCUUUUAAACUUUUAUAUUCUAUUUGAUGAAUUUUUUGGUUGCAAAUUUUCAGUGCAAAAAUAGACAUUAUUUAUGUUAAAUCCUGUAGAAUUAAACCUUUUGAUAUCUAUAUUGCUAGAAGAUAAGACGACAUUGAAUCAUAUAGUAUUAAAUCUUUUAUGAAAUAGAAAUGUUUUAGAAACAUGUAUGCCUCCAUGUGCCAAUAUUGAAAAGCGUCGAUUUUUCAUUUAGAAAGCCUGUAGUGGUGAUGAAAAUUAUGGGUUGUCAGGGGCAACCAUGAUAUCAAUAAGUUUAACCUCUCAAGAUACUAUCCAGGCAUUUCCAAGUAAUUCAUUACCUUUGAUAUUGUGACCUGGAAACAAAUGGGGUCAUCUACUCUUUAGGGGGCACCCGUGCUCUAAGACUGAUGCCUGUCAAGGAAAUGGUUCUCAAAGGUAUUGAGUGGACAAUAUGUUAUUAUUAUGUCCAGUUGAAUCCUAUUGAUUUUGAGGUCACAAGGUCAAUUGUCAAUCUUUUCUGGACAUAAGAUAUUGUUCGUAGGUAGAACCAGAAUACAAAGUUUAAUAUUUGUCAGGCAAGCGUUCUAUAGAUAUUCUGCGGAAAAUAUCUUACUAAUGUCCAGUUUGACCCUUGACCUUGUGACCUGGAAAGCAUUCAAGGUCAUCUACAUGUUAGGGACAACCACUGUACCAAGUUUGGUAACUGUCAAGCAAUUGUUUCUUUAGAUAUUGAGCGGACAAGAUUUGGUCUACAGAUCAAGAUACAUCCUUGACCUUGUGACCUGAAAAUCAAUAGGGAUCAUCUCCUACUUAGGGGCAAACAACUGUAAUAAGUUUGGUAACUGUCAAUCAAAUUCGUAAGAUAAUGAGCGGCGAAGACUUGGUUUACAGGCCGACCUACAGGUGCAAAACAAUAUGCCCCCUCACAUAAAGUUUUAAAAUAGAUUUUUAACAUAAUGGAUGCUAUUUUAUUAUGAUUCAUCAGCUGUAGAAAUUAGCAUUAUACUUGUACAUGUAAAUGAAUCAACAAUACUGCACAACUUAGGUGCAAACCUCUUUAUGAUACUCAAGAAAAUGCAUAUUCGUUUUUUAGGGGCCUCCGUGGCCGAGUGGUUAGAGCAUCGCGCUCAAAAUCACACAGCCUCUCACCUCUGUCGGUGCCGGUUCGAAUCCCGCUAGCGCCGGUAAGUGAGAAAGUUUGAAAGUUACCCAGUUUACUUUCGGAGGGUCGGUGGUCUCUUCCAAAAUGAUAAGAUAAUGAGCGGCGAAGACUUGGUUUACAGGCCGACCUACAGGUGCAAAACAAUAUGCCCCCUCACAUAAAGUUUUAAAAUAGAUUUUUAACAUAAUGGAUGCUAUUUUAUUAUGAUUCAUCAGCUGUAGAAAUUAGCAUUAUACUUGUACAUGUAAAUGAAUCAACAAUACUGCACAACUUAGGUGCAAACCUCUUUAUGAUACUCAAGAAAAUGCAUAUUCGUUUUUUAGGGGCCUCCGUGGCCGAGUGGUUAGAGCAUCGCGCUCAAAAUCACACAGCCUCUCACCUCUGUCGGUGCCGGUUCGAAUCCCGCUAGCGCCGGUAAGUGAGAAAGUUUGAAAGUUACCCAGUUUACUUUCGGAGGGUCGGUGGUCUCUUCCCAGGUACAUUGUAUCUGGGUUCUCUCUUCCACCAAUAAAAACUGUGCGCCACCAGAUACAGGUAACUGAAAAAUCGGAAAACAUCAAUCAAUCAAUCAAUCAUACACGUUUUCAUUGCCCUACAAAUCAAUUCAAUAUUGCCCAGUCACUACUGAGAGAGUUAUCUCUCCUGUAAAGUGUUUAAAGUGUUCCGGAAGUCAAAUAUACAUUUUGGUUUAUCUUAUGUAUUUUUAAAAAUAAAUAGCGAUAGUAAAAUUAUUUCAGUUAUUUUUUAAUCAAUAAACGAUAUAAUGGGCAAAAACAACCUUCUUCGUAAAUUCACACCUUUACGAUACCGAAAACGAGACUGAAAAUGUAAUACCGGAUCUGACGUCACAACCCAUCAUUGGCGGUUUCUUCACAACAAGACGAGAGUAUAAAAGAAGAAAAUAUUCGAAGAGAAAUGGCAAGUAAGAGCAAGGGACGCAUGUGUGUAGUUGUAGGAAGCAACAACAGGCCCUCGGACACCGUUUCCGUCCAUGUUUUCCCGAAGGACGAGCGACAGAGAGCAGCAUAGACUCGAUUUGUGAGACUGACCCGUGCAGACUGGACAGGAUCGUGCCAGUAUACUGUUGUUUGUAGUGCGCAUUUCACGGACGGAUGUUUCCAGGCUCAGUUUUCACUGAUGAGAGAAUUUGUAAUUCCUGCGAAAAAAACGCCUCUGCUCUGGUGCGAUUCUAUCGCUUUAUCCUAAGAGGAAAGUGGACGACCUCAACCUUGCCCUCCUCUCUUCGCCCGAGCCUAAACCCAAGCGCCAGGCUGCCGUCAAGCUGGAGAAAAAUAGGGUAGGUCGUGUGUAACUUUAUUAUGAAGAUUCCAUCGGUAAGAAAGUUGAUACUUUUUAUUGUAGUCUGUGACGUUUAUUAACUUUUUUCACUUUAUAAGUUACAAUACACGUACCAUAUGACGAGUUUCUAACAUGCCCCAUCUAAUCAGGACCCUGGAUUAGAUUGCCGUUUAAACAUAUUCUGUCAUAUAGAUCCACUGACCUAUCUUAGUAAUGUUAUCAAGAACUUUGCAUAAUUUAAAUAUACAUAGACUUCUAUUACUCUUUUAGUGGGCAAUAUUAUUUUUCCAACACGAUUAAAUGUUAACACUGCAAAGAUACCAAUUCUGAUCAAUCAAGUGAAGGCUGAGGGGUGUAGAGUGGGUGGCCUGUAACCCCUGUUAUAACUCCUACAUGUACAUCCUUUGGAUUUAUACGUUAAUGAAAAUUAAAUUAAAUUAUUUCCAAAAAUGACAUGUGAUGGAAACCCCUCUUCACUAAUUUAAUUUACACAAAUCAUGGGCAGAUCCAGGAAUUUUGGAAAGGGGGGGGGGGUUAUACCAUUAUUAAAUUUCAGUUGUUAAAGGGUGUUUCCACCAUCUAUAUGUGUGGGUGUUUUUUAGCAACAUUUUCUGAUGAAAGGGGAGGGUUCCGACCUUCGGGAUACCCCCCCCCCCCCUGAAUGAUCAGGAUCCCCCACUGCAAAUUAUUUCAAUAUUUACAUGGGGACAUUUUAUUUCAAAAUAAUAAAAGAAUUACAGUAAAUACAUUAUAAAGCACUAUCGUAACAAUUAUUUUAUCCUUUUUUAUUGGGAAAGGUUGAUGAUUGCUGCUCUACAUUUUAAUGAGAAUUCCUCAAGGCAGCAUGACAUAACGAAGGAGGGGGACCAACAAUUUAAAAUCAGUUUCCCGAAGUUCAAGUGUUCGUAGGAAGCCUGUUGAUCCAACAAUUACCCAUCAUAUGACCAGUCCUGAUGAAGGAGUUUGGUUUUUCAAGGGUUAUCAGAACCAUUACCAUGCUCAUUGCCAGCUCAACCACCUCCACUGUGCAGUGAAUUUUUCCAUCCUGAUAAAGAAGAAGCAGUGCUACAUUUUACAUCGAGGUUCAGUCGGAAGGAGAUAUCCGUGUGAACGUGAACAAAACGUAACACUAGCUAUUUGGACAUUCUAGCAAAGCAGAUAAAAAAUAUGUUGGUCAUACAGAUGUGCUCUAUUUUAAUCUUGUUUAAAAAUGUUAAAUCAUUGUGAAACACUUUUAUCUUUGGUUUUGUUUAAAUUUGAACCAAAGUCAUAUAGAGUAGUAGGUUGUGAAAACAAAUUUUGUUAUUUUUUACAAAUAAAAAAAGACUGGGAACAACAAUGAUAUAGGGUCUGACCGUUGGGUAACAAUCUGUUUGGUCUUGCAUGCAACAGUGUAUUUUUGCAAAUGAUUUAUAUAAUGAAAUAUUAGCAUAGUAUAUGUAGUAUUAGCUUUAUAGUAUAUAUAAUAGUUGUAAGAGUUAAAAAAUGGGAACAUGAAAGCAGGGUCCUCGUCCCGUUCCUGGAUGCGGACACAUUUUAUUUGAAAUAUUGUUUGUAUAGCUGAUGCUUUCUAGAAAAUUGAUGUAUUAUUUUUGGGCCAUUUCUGUUAGAAUGUUGUGCUUGAAUUUUUUUGUAUGCAUCAUGUAUGAAUCGUACAUUUGUUUUUAAAAAAAAGUUGCUUCAACUAAAUCAUACCAUCACUCAGGUGCAUUGAAUCCUUGAUACUCCUCAGAGGCAAAGGAAUUCCGUCACAGCACAUGAGGGUAGAGGGACUCGCACCUUGUGCCCUAGGUAUCCUUAGCACCACCAAACAAAUUGCCCGUGUGUUAUGUAUCUGUUACGCCUGUAAUUCCGGGAAAUGUUUGGAAUUAUUCACUAAUGAUAAACUAGCAAUCGGACCCAAUGGUCAUGUGAAUUUUGUAUUGAACAAAUCAAUAAAAAAAAAUUGACUUGC